GAUGAACGCUAGCGGCAGGCUUAAUACAUGCAAGUCGAGGGGCAGCAGGGGUGUAGCAAUACACUCGCUGGCGACCGGCAAACGGGUGCGGAACACGUACGCAAUCUACCCAAAACUGGUGAAUAGCCCUCCGAAAGGAGGAUUAAUACACCGUAACUUAAGGAAGUGGCAUCACUAUCUUAAUAUAGCUCCGGCGGUUUUGGAUGAGCGUGCGCCUGAUUAGGAGUUGGCGGGGUAACGGGCCCACCAAGCCUACGAUCAGUAACUGGUGUGAGAGCACGACCAGU
rnacentral:rRNA from 1 species